rnacentral:lncRNA from 1 species
CCAGUGUCCACCACUCGCAGCUCCACUCUGGAGGACCUCUGUUAUCCCAGGGAGACAGAAGCAGAGCCAGUGCUCAGCAGUGAGGCGUCCCGGCCAACGUUAUGCAUCUGGUGAGCAGAGCCCAGGGCUGUCUGAAUCCAAAGCCUGUGCUCUGAUCACUCUGUUUCGGACCUCCACUGCCACACCUGUCUGGGAGGAAUCUCAGCUUUGGAGGCCUUAGGUCCACUUUCCUGCUUGAGGUUGAGACCCACAGGAAAGUGGGGACGGGAGCUGACAUUUGUUGGGACUCUAUCCAUUUUGUGCUUCCAACCACAGGGCUUGGCGGUCUUUGUCAUUCCCUUUUACAGUCAAGGAUAUCAAAGCUCCGACAGGUGGAACAAGCUGGCUUCAUAAAGGCAGAGCUGGGAUGACAACCUGGGUCAGAAGGCACUAAAGCUGGUGUUUUCUUCACUACCGCACCAUCUCUUCCAGAAGAGGACCUUGCUGCACCCAUUUCCCCUUGGCUCACUCACAUAUCAGGUCCCCGUUUCUCCUCCCAGGGCUUCUUGCUCCAGGACUGGUCAGCCAUGGGCCCUGCUGGCUUUGUGGCUGUAGGAUGCGGCCAAUCCCCCCACCCGAGGGCUGCACUAGAGAUAGAGUAACUGAAUUUCCUGAUGGGCAUUAAUAUGAAUACCAGCUUAACCCCGCAUUUGCCAGCUUCCCUUGCAGCUAGGACCCAAUCAAGUUGCUUCCCAAACAUGGAAGAAUCCUUACAGGCUCCUGGCCUUUUCUUCAUCUUGCGGGAAGCUCUGGUUUCUGCUGUGGUGGUCUGCUCUUCUCCCUCCUCUCCAGUGGUCCGGACCUAUCUGCCCGCAAAGUCACAACAACAGAUCUAAUAUCAAAGGCAUGGGAGGUUGAAAUGGACACAGGUGAUGUGCAUGUAGAUGUCCCGUACGCCUCAUCGUCUUCAGGUCACCACGGCCAUGGCUGCAGGGAGUGCCCCUCUGUAAGUGCUAUACAAAUGCACGCCAAGUACAACCUGAGAGUGGGCCUCGUGCCCAGGCUGCCCACCUCUCACCUGUAGUCCGAGGGCUUCCCUAUUGCUGCUGAGGAAUGAGGCGCUGAGGGUCCUCUCAGUCCCAUGCAUGCAAGACCUGGAACUGCAGGGGAGUCCAUCUCU